rnacentral:rRNA from 1 species
CUGGCUCAUGAUGAACGCUAGCGGCAGGCUUACACAUGCAAGUCGAGGGGUAACGAUGGUGCUUGCACCAGGCGACGACCGGCGGACGGGUGAGUAACACGUAUGCAAUUUGCCUUUAACUGGAGGAUAGCUUCGGGAAACCGUAAUUAAUACUCCAUAGUAUUCAAAAGACGCAUGUUUUUUGAAUUAAAGCUCCGGCGGUUAAAGAUAAGCAUGCGGGACAUUAGCUAGUUGGUAAGGUAACGGCUUACCAAGGCGACGAUGUCUAGGGGGUUUGAGAGGAUGAUCCCCCACACUGGUACUGAGACACGGACCAGACUCCUACGGGAGGCAGCAGUGAGGAAUAUUGGGCAAUGGGCGCAAGCCUGACCCAGCCAUGCCGCGUGCAGGAUGAAGGUCCUAUGGAUCGUAAACUGCUUUUGUAUGGGAAGAACUUCCCGCAUUCGUGCGGGAUUGACGGUACUAUACGAAUAAGGACCGGCUAACUCCGUGCCAGCAGCCGCGGUAAUACGGAGGGUCCAAGCGUUAUCCGGAUUCACUGGGUUUAAAGGGUGCGUAGGUGGAACGAUAAGUCGAUGGUGAAAGCCUACAGCUUAACUGUAGAAUUGCCAUUGAUACUGUUGUUCUUGAGUAUAGUCGGGGGAAGUGGAAUGCGUAAUGUAGCGGUGAAAUGCAUAGAUAUUACGCAGAACACCGAUCGCGAAAGCAGCUUCCUAGGCUAUUACUGACACUGAGGCACGAAAGCGUGGGGAGCGAACAGGAUUAGAUACCCUGGUAGUCCACGCCGUAAACGAUGCUCACUCGCUGUUGGCGAUAUAUUGUCAGCAGUUAAGCUAAAGCAUUAAGUGAGCCACCUGGGAAGUACGUCCGCAAGGAUGAAACUCAAAGGAAUUGACGGGGGCCCGGACAACCGGUGGAACAUGUGGGUUCAAUUCGAUGAUACGCGAGAAACCUUUACCUGG